rnacentral:lncRNA from 1 species
AGCUCCUGGGGCCCCCAGGCCUCCGACUCGGCCAGCAACUGAUCCAGCAGGCGUAGGGUCUCCUCCCGGCCACCGGAGGGCGUCGCGGGUCGGGGGUCGCGGCCGCUCUCCUCCUGCCCCGCGGCCGUCCGGGCCUGGUCAGCCGUGCCGCCCUCCGAGGCUGUCUCUCCCGGGCCUGUCUGACGCCUGUCAGGGCUGCGUCGCCGCCUCGGGAUCCGGCCGCUCCGGCUGCUGCCGCUGCCCAUGGCGCGCACCCAGCCUGGAGCGCGCAGCCUGGGAGCCGGGCGGGACUGGGGCGGGAGCGCGGCGGGCCAGAUGGGGCGAGGGAACAGCAAGGGGGAUUCUGGAGGAGUGAGCGGCGGAGGGUGCGAUGGAGAGAUAGGGAGGGAGGAGAGUCACGGGGGAUGGGAGCUAUGAGAAACGGGGGUAGCAGGAGGAGUCACGGGGGGCGCGGGGAUGGAAGAGACAGAGAAGCAAGGAUGAUCUGGGAGGCUGGAGGAAGUAGAGGCUGCUAGGGGAGAGGGGGCGCUCCUCAGGGGGAGAAUGGGAGGAUGGGGAAAGACUUGGAGGAGAUGAAGAACGGGGUGGGGCAGGGGGAGCGCCGUGAGACAGGGAGAAAAUGGGGAAGGUGAUCCUGGGGGGGAAGGAGAGUAAGCGGGAUGAAGAGAGGGUGGGAGUGACUCCCUGGGAGACUCUCAGGGUGCGGCGGGGGUGUGGGAAGUUUGGGGUAGGGUGGCACUGCAGGGAGGUGCAACAGGGUUAGUAUUGUAUGGAAGGGAGCCUUAAAGGGUGCAGAGUGGAUAGACUGGUGGAAGGGAAGUCAGGGCGAAAGAAUCAUCUUGGAGAAGUUUGGGGGAGGCCCAUGGAGCACGGGUGGGAGUCAUGCUGGGAGCAAGGGGAGCAAGGCACCGGCUGAAAAGAGCUGGGGGGUGAAAGACAGAAGAAUGCUUGAAGCAGAGCCGGAUGCCAGGGAAGGGGAAGAUCAGGAGUCGGGGUUGGAGACUAGCACUGUCGGAAAGGAGGUCGUUGGGGCUUCAGGUACAGGUCUGAGAGAGCAGAGACAAGGUGAGAGGAGGAGGGAGACAGAAAAGGAGAGCCGGAGAUGUGUGUGUGAGUGUGAGAGAGAGAGAAUGUCCAAGGGAGGGGAGAGCUUCAGGGUGGCCAGCCGGAGUGAGAGGUUGAGAGGCGUGUACCAGAGGCCCUGGGCAGGGCACACUGAAGGGCGUGUCCCUGGACAGGGACUCGAGGGUAGAGGAGAAGACUCUGGAGUGGGCGUGUGACUUCCUGGGAGGGAAGGAUGCGCAGAAUUUGGGGUGGUUAGAUUGUGGAAGAUUGCGACCCCCCGGCCCGGACAGGGUGAAUUUAGAGGUCGAAAGACGACCUUCCUCUUCACCAUCUUUCUGACCUCCGAUUGGAGUUCCUCUGGCCGCUUCACCGCAGGCUCUGGCUUCCUUUUCUCCAGUUCCUUCUACAGCUGGAAUGCAAGAUCCUGAGUGGAGUCCAGGUGGUGGGUCUGGGAGCCUCCAGAGAGUCAUGGCCAGUCAGGAUGGCUGCCGUCCCCGUGCUUCUGGAGAGGGGCUUAGCCAAGAGGAAGCCACCCCAAAGGCUGAUCUCCUGACAGUUGAGCCGGUCCCCUGACAUGUGGCAUGCUGCAGAGCCUCGGAGGAAAGAGACAGCAACACUGACGAAUGAGGUCAGCGGGACCUGCUGAGUACCCAGUGGAUGUGGAGAACAGUGG